rnacentral:rRNA from 1 species
GACGAACGCUGGCGGCGUGCUUAACACAUGCAAGUCGAACGUGAUUUUUGUGGAAAUUCUUUCGGGAAUGGAAAUGAAAUGAAAGUGGCGAACGGGUGAGUAACACGUGAGCAACCUACCUUACACAGGGGGAUAGCCGUUGGAAACGACGAUUAAUACCGCAUGAGACCACAGAAUCGCAUGAUAUAGGGGUCAAAGAUUUAUCGGUGUAAGAAGGGCUCGCGUCUGAUUAGCUAGUUGGAAGGGUAAAGGCCUACCAAGGCGACGAUCAGUAGCCGGUCUGAGAGGAUGAACGGCCACAUUGGAACUGAGACACGGUCCAAACUCCUACGGGAGGCAGCAGUGGGGAAUAUUGCACAAUGGGGGGAACCCUGAUGCAGCGACGCCGCGUGAGCGAAGAAGGUUUUCGAAUCGUAAAGCUCUGUCCUAUGAGAAGAUAAUGACGGUAUCAUAGGAGGAAGCCCCGGCUAAAUACGUGCCAGCAGCCGCGGUAAUACGUAUGGGGCGAGCGUUGUCCGGAAUUAUUGGGCGUAAAGGGUACGUAGGCGGUUUUUUAAGUCAGGUGUGAAAGCGUGAGGCUUAACCUCAUUAAGCACUUGAAACUGGAAGACUUGAGUGAAGGAGAGGAAAGUGGAAUUCCUAGUGUAGCGGUGAAAUGCGUAGAUAUUAGGAGGAAUACCGGCGGCGAAGGCGACUUUCUGGACUUUUACUGACGCUCAGGUACGAAAGCGUGGGGAGCAAACAGG